CUUAAAGUCAAAGAUAUCUAUUUGGUAGGUAGAAAGAUCCAUUUGGAAUCUGGUGACCUUGUUAGAGUCUGGAAAGAUUCCAUAAACGGGUUGAGUCCUUUUCAGACCCUCUACCCUUCGUUGUUUGAGAUCUGCAAUAAUCAGGAUUGCACUAUUGCUAAUUUCAAGUCUGUGGACGUCCAUUCUUUCUUUAGAAGGAGACUCACUCCUGAAUUAUCCCGUCAAUGGGAGGAAAUAAACAAAACGAUCAAUAAUAUCCAGCUAAGUCAGGGUGGGGACCGGGUC
rnacentral:rRNA from 1 species